rnacentral:rRNA from 1 species
GAAAGCGUGGGGAGCGAACAGGAUUAGAUACCCUGGUAGUCCACGCCGUAAACGGUGGAUGCUGGAUGUGGGGACCAUUCCACGGUCUCCGUGUCGGAGCCAACGCGUUAAGCAUCCCGCCUGGGGAGUACGGCCGCAAGGCUAAAACUCAAAGAAAUUGACGGGGGCCCGCACAAGCGGCGGAGCAUGCGGAUUAAUUCGAUGCAACGCGAAGAACCUUACCUGGGCUUGACAUGUUCCCGACAGCCGUAGAGAUACGGUCUCCCUUCGGGGCGGGUUCACAGGUGGUGCAUGGUCGUCGUCAGCUCGUGUCGUGAGAUGUUGGGUUAAGUCCCGCAACGAGCGCAACCCUCGCCCUGUGUUGCCAGCACGUCGUGGUGGGAACUCACGGGGGACCGCCGGGGUCAACUCGGAGGAAGGUGGGGAUGACGUCAGAUCAUCAUGCCCCUUACGUCCAGGGCUUCACGCAUGCUACAAUGGCCGGUACAACGGGAUGCGACACCGCGAGGUGGAGCGGAUCCCUUAAAACCGGUCUCAGUUCGGAUUGGAGUCUGCAACCCGACUCCAUGAAGGCGGAGUCGCUAGUAAUCGCGGAUCAGCAACGCCGCGGUGAAUGCGUUCCCGGGCCUUGUACACACCGCCCGUCAAGUCAUGAAAGUGGGUAGCACCCGAAGCCGGUGGCCCAACCUUUUUGGGGGGAGCCGUCUAAGGUGAGACUCGUGAUUGGGACUAAGUCGUAACAAGGUAGCCGUACCGGAAGGUGCGGCUG